AGAGAGGACCUUUGCAACAGUAGUACACAUCUUCAUUUCUGAAGCUGUGAGACUGAUCUAACUUAGUUAUUGACUGGACGCAAGCCAAGUGGUGAUGACCACUCAUUUCUACACGUGAACGGAAUAUGAGCCAUUUCAAGAGGAGUUAAAAUAAACCUCUGAAGUUGAAAAACCUCUGAAGUUGAAGAAAUUGCCUAGUGAUCUCACGCUGAUGGCAACAAUAUGAAGCCAAUGUCCAAGUCUGCGGGAGAGCCAAAAAGGAGCUGGGCCCUGCGGGAUGAGGAGUUUCCCAGGGCA